AUAGCCUUAAGAUAUAACUAAUCUUUAUGCCUUUUAAGCAUAAAAAGCUUGAAGCAGGUUGUC
rnacentral:tRNA from 1 species